rnacentral:rRNA from 1 species
GGGACACGUGGUAUCCUGUCUGAAUAUGGGGGGACCAUCCUCCAAGGCUAAAUACUCCUGACUGACCGAUAGUGAACCAGUACCGUGAGGGAAAGGCGAAAAGAACCCCGGCGAGGGGAGUGAAAAAGAACCUGAAACCGUGUACGUACAAGCAGUGGGAGCACGCUUAGGCGUGUGACUGCGUACCUUUUGUAUAAUGGGUCAGCGACUUAUAUUCUGUAGCAAGGUUAACCGAAUAGGGGAGCCGAAGGGAAACCGAGUCUUAACUGGGCGUUAAGUUGCAGGGUAUAGACCCGAAACCCGGUGAUCUAGCCAUGGGCAGGUUGAAGGUUGGGUAACACUAACUGGAGGACCGAACCGACUAA